AUCCUUUUGAAGUUCAUAAGCAUGGUGAUUGGGUUUUCACACUCAUGUGUGAGAUGUACCACCCGCAAAGCUUGUUAUGAUGUGGGCACAUUACCCAUCUGACA
ensembl:snoRNA